rnacentral:rRNA from 1 species
GUUACGUACGGGAGGGUAGGAGGGUGAGACGGUAGGGGGCGGGGGUUGGCUGGAAUGAUGGGGAUUAAAGAGCUGGUAGGCGGUAUGUGGGGUCUGCUGGUAAAAGCCGUGGCUCAAGCCCGGACGUGCAGUGGGUACGGGCAGACUAGAGUAUGGUAGGGGAGACUGGAAUUCCUGGUGUAGCGGUGAAAUGCGCAGAUAUCAGGAGGAACACCGAUGGCGAAGGCAGGUCUCUGGGCCACUACUGACGCUGAGAAGCGAAAGCAUGGGGAGCGAACAGGAUUAGAUACCCUUGUAGUC